AGCAGUACGGCGAGUGAACAGGCAAGAGCUCAGAUUUGAAAGGCACUUUUGUGCCGUUGUAUUCUGAAGUUAGGGUCCUGAGAAACGAUGCUUAAGUCUUCUGGAAAGGAGCGCCAUGGAGGGUGAUAGCCCCGUCUAGCAUUGACCUCAUAUAGGAUCUUAACAUGGAGUCGAGUUGUUUGGGAAUGCAGCUCAAAUGGGUGGUAUGCUCCAUCUAAAGCUAAAUAUCUGCGAGAGACCGAUAGUAAACAAGUACUGUGAGGGAAAGAUGAAAAGAACUUUGAAAAGAGAGUGAAAAAGUACGUGAAAUUGUUGAAAUGGAAGGGUAGGCCGCUAACCAUGUAGAGCCGUGUUUGGGGGGAAGAUAAAUGCUGUAGAAUGUAGCUCCUCGGAGUAUUAUAGAUGCAGUUCAUAUUCCCACCCGAGCGCGAGGAUCUCAGGUUCUACUAAAUGGUGGUCUACCACCCGUCUUGAACCAAAGGGACCAA
rnacentral:rRNA from 1 species